GCGGAUGGAAUUUCUUCGGAGAGGAAGCCUGCAUGACUGAGUGGCGGACGGGUGAGUAACGCGUGGGCAACCUGCCCUGCACAGGGGGACAACAGCCGGAAACGGCUGCUAAUACCGCAUAAGCGCACAGCUUCGCAUGGAGCGGUGUGAAAAGCUGCGGCGGUGCAGGAUGGGCCCGCGUCUGAUUAGCUGGUUGGCGGGGCAACGGCCCACCAAGGCGACGAUCAGUAGCCGGCCUGAGAGGGUGGACGGCCACAUUGGGACUGAGACACGGCCCAGACUCCUAGGGGAGGCAGCAGUGGGGAAUAUUGCACAAUGGGGGAAACCCUGAUGCAGCGACGCCGCGUGAGCGAAGAAGUAUUUCGGUAUGUAAAGCUCUAUCAGCAGGGAAGAAAUUGACGGUACCUGAGUAAGAAGCUCCGGCUAAAUACGUGCCAGCAGCCGCGGUAAUACGUAUGGAGCAAGCGUUAUCCGGAUUUACUGGGUGUAAAGGGAGCGUAGGCGGCCUGCCAAGUCUGAUGUGAAAUACCGGGGCUCAACCCCGGGGCUGCAUUGGAAACUGGCAGGCUGGAGUGUCGGAGAGGCAGGCGGAAUUCCUAGUGUAGCGGUGAAAUGCGUAGAUAUUAGGAGGAACACCAGUGGCGAAGGCGGCCUGCUGGACGAUGACUGACGCUGAGGCUCGAAAGCGUGGGGAGCAAACAGGAUUAGAUACCCUGGUAGUCCACGCCGUANACGAUGAACACUAGGUGUCGGGGAGCGAAGCUCNCCGGUGCCGCAGCAAACGCAGUAAGUGUUCC
rnacentral:rRNA from 1 species